rnacentral:misc_RNA from 1 species
AACUUUUAGCAACGGAUCUCUUGGCUCUCGCAUCGAUGAAGAACGCCGCGAAAUGCGAUACGUAAGGUGAAUUGCAGAAUUCAGUGAAUCAUCGAAUCUUUGAACGCACCUUGCGCCCCUUGGCAUUCCGAGGGGCACACCCGUUUGAGUGUCGUGAAAUUCUCAAAACCUUUUCCUUUGCCGGAAAGGAUUUUGGACUUGGAUGCCUUUUGCUGGUUUCACCUCGAAGCGAGCUCCUCCCAAAUGGAUUAGUGGGGUCUGCUUUGCCGAUCCUUGACGUGAUAGGAUGCUUCUACGUCUCGGGUUUUGGCACUGUGCCUCUGCUUCUAACCGUCGCAUUGACAACGAUGGUGUUCCGGUCACCGCCGAUUCGUCGGUGGGAGGCUUGACCCACAAAACGACCUUGACCUCAGAUCGGGUGAGGCUACCCGCUGAACUUAAGCAUAUCAAUAAGCGGAGGCU